rnacentral:misc_RNA from 1 species
GGCGUAGCUCUCAUACUUUACUGCCUCCUCUUCCAUCAAGAAGAUCUGCCAUUAAGAAAUUUCCUGAUGAGAAAUCGGUGGCACAUGAAUUACCAGUUUCCCGUCAAAGUUCCUAUGGCCAAGGCGUCCUAAACGGUAUUAAUGUUCUUUGUGGAGUAGGAAUCCUUUCUACACCUUAUGCUGUGAAAGAAGGUGGAUGGGCAGGGCUUUCUAUAUUGUUCAUCUUCGGUGUGCUUUCGUACUAUACUGGCAUUCUCCUGAGAUACUGCUUAGACAGCCAACCAGGGCUUGAAACUUACCCGGAUAUUGGUCAGGCUGCAUUCGGUACAGUUGGAAGAAUUAUCAUAUCGAUAAUUUUGUACGUGGAGUUAUAUUCCUGUUGUGUUGAAUACAUAAUUUUGGAGGGAGAUAACCUAUCGGCUUUAUUUCCAAAUGCACAUUUGAAUUUAGGAGGCUGCCAAUUAGAUGCACGGCAUCUCUUUGCUUUGAUAACCAGCUUAGCUGUUCUUCCUACCGUUUGGCUGCGAGACCUCACUGUUCUUAGUUACAUAUCAGCUGGAGGAGUUAUUGCUUCUGUGAUGGUUGUCAUUUGCUUGUACUGGCUUGGUUUAGUCGAUCACGUGGGCACUCAAAGCACAGAAACUGUUCUGAAUCUUUCUAGUCUUCCUGUUGCUAUUGGACUUUAUGGAUAUUGUUACUCUGGGCAUGCAGUGUUUCCCAAUAUAUACACAUCAUUGGAGAAACGUAGCCAAUUCCCUGCUGUCCUCUUUACCAGUUUUGCUAUUGUGACUGUGUUGUAUGCUGGAGCAGCUGUGAUGGGAUACAUGAUGUUUGGGGACUCAGCUCAAUCCCAGUUUACUCUAAACUUGCCAACAGAUUUAGUUGCCUCCAAGAUUGCUUUUUGGACCACGAUCGUUAAUCCAUUCACAAAAUAUGCAUUGACCAUGGCCCCUGUGGCUAUGAGUUUAGAGGAGUUGAUACCAUCGAACCACACCAAAUCGCACAUGUACAGUAUCCUCAUUAGAACAGCACUGGUUAUGUCCACAUUAUUCGUGGCUCUCAAAAUUCCAUUUUUCGCAUUUGUGAUGGCGUUGAUCGGAUCAUUUUUCACCAUGCUCGUUACACUGAUUCUACCUUGUGCUUGCUUCUUGAGAAUUUUGAAGGGAAAAAUAAGCCCCAUUCAGGUAGUAACAUGUAUACUUAUCAUCAUAAUAGGCAGCAUAUCAGCAGUUAUUGGAUCUUACUCAGCUCUCUCCAAAAUCAUCCACAGUUUAUGAGUGAAGAAAAUUGGCAAUACAAACACAAUGGCCAUCAUAGAUGUUUUCAAGUCUUAGAUUUAACAAAAUUUCAUUUUCUCAGUGUGUUCUGCUAUUAAUCUCAGGCUUGUGAUGUUUUCAAGUCCUUUAGAGAAAAAAAAAAAACCUUUUAUGUCAUAUUGAUUGCAUGUUACUUAAAGCAUAUGGCUAUAUAUAGAUUGC